UUAUGAUUUUGUGGCUGUGGUAACUAGUGACGACCGAACAACAGUGUAGAGGGGGAAGACGAUUCGAAUGCUGCUUACUUUGGUAAGAAGCGAACAGUUCUUCUGCAGGAGCUGAGAGUGCUGUGACUGUCGGCAUAGAAGGGUUCAAAGUUGCUUCUGAUCCGCAGUUUUGGAUUUUUGCCAACUCGGAUUGAGGUUGCUCUGUGAAAGCGGGCGAGAUACAAUGUAUCCAAGCCUGCUCUGUCAUUGCUCCGUGGUCCUCUGACGAGCUAAAACCCCACUGUCUAUGGAGGGACAAACGAAGAGCGCAACGCUCAGGUACCAAGUACCCCCAUUUCGGUUAUCUGGGAGAUGGUAACAAAUGAACGGCACUGGAGGGAACAUGGUUGAGAGGACCAGCAAAUUUUUGUUGAUCGUCGUCGGAUCCGUCUUCUUCAUGAUGAUUUUAUAUCAGUACGUGGCUCCUGGGGUGAUGAACUUCGGGUCUCCACAGGGGUACCUCGCCGAGGACAAUAUGGAUAUUUUCCCUACUCCGGAUCCCCAUUAUAUAAAAAAGUACUACUUCCCUGUCAGAGACUUGGAACGCACCGUUGAUUUCGAGAUCAAGGGUGAAGACGUGAUAGUGUUUCUUCACAUACAGAAAACUGGCGGAACCACUUUUGGCAGGCAUCUAGUGCAAAAUGUUAGACUAGAAGUCCCAUGUGAUUGCAGACCAGGGCAGAAAAAAUGUACAUGCUACCGUCCCAACAGAAAGGAGACCUGGCUGUUUUCGAGGUUCUCCACUGGCUGGAGUUGCGGGUUACAUGCAGAUUGGACCGAGCUCACAAACUGCGUUCCUGGAGUGCUCAACAAGAAGGAAAACAAAUCGAAAAAACUGAGGAAGUUCUACUACAUCACCCUGCUGAGGGACCCUGUGUCACGCUACCUGAGCGAGUGGCGCCAUGUGCAGCGCGGCGCCACCUGGAAGACGUCCCUCCACAUGUGCGACGGGCGCACGCCCACCCCCGAGGAGCUGCCGCCCUGCUACGAGGGUACGGACUGGUCCGGCUGCACCCUGCAGCAGUUCAUGGACUGCCCCUACAACCUGGCCAACAACCGGCAGGUGCGCAUGCUCGCCGACCUCAGCCUGGUGGGCUGCUACAACCUCUCCACCGUGCCCGAUAAGCGGCGCUCGCAACUUCUCCUCGAGUCAGCCAAGAAGAACCUGCGCGACAUGGCCUUCUUCGGUCUGACUGAGUAUCAGCGCAAGACGCAGUUCCUGUUUGAGCGCACCUUCCGACUGCGAUUCAUCCGCCCCUUUGUGCAGUACAACAGCACGCGGGCGGCCGGCGUGGACCUGGACAAUGACACGGUGGCGCGCAUCGAGGAGCUCAACGACCUGGACAUGCAGCUGUAUGACUACGCUCGCGACCUCUUCCAGCAGCGCUAUCAGUACACUCGGCAGCUGGAGAGACGCGCGCACCGCUUGGCACUUCGGGGUCGCGGUCUCGACCCCCGGGAUUUUCUCAGAGAUGAGGGCGGUAUGGGGGGCGAAGGGACAGCCAGGCUGCCCACAGAGGACUACAUGAACCACAUCAUCAACAGGUGGUAGCCCCCACCCACCUAGACACCCACUUUCCUGACCUCCCCAUUGUCUUUUAUGGUGAGGUUGCAUCAGAGUGAUUGUUUAGGAAAGUUGAAAUUUGGCACUUGUGGUUUAGGAAGGAGACCAUUGCAGAGGAUUGGGUGACUUACCUAUGGACUUUGCAUGAGCCAAGCUGUGGGUUGCGGACCAGAUGAUAUCCCUUCUAGCUCCUGGAUGACAUAGACGUUUUGGUUUUCUUAGACUAUGUGGAGAGGUCAGAUAUUUGUGAUUGGAAGCCCACGAUAAACCUGAGUCACCCUCUGGAGUUCUAGAAGCAGCAACUGUCUCUACACUCCUCAGAUUUUCCUUUACAAAGUAAACAAACUUGUUUUACUUGCCGUUCUAUGUCUUAGCCCACAAGAAUAACCUAUGUGCUUAAUAAGUUGUUUGAGGAGUUUCAAAGCAGUGAGAUGAGAAAUUACCUGUACUUUGGGCCAAAAGUAUUUCAAUAGUAUCUAAGCGAAGGACAUUUCCGACAAGCUAUCUUUUUAUUUAUUCAAUUGCUUCUGAUCAUUUGAAAUAGAUAUUUUUCCAAUGUGAGAGACUAUUUGGCCCACCUUGAUAUACAGUAUGGCACUUGUAAGUGAUAUAAAGUCAUGAUUGGCAUAACAUACCCAUCAAUUUGCUGAAAGUUUACUAACAUGUAUCAAAGUUUAGAGUUAUAUCUUAAUAUAAAUGACGGAUAAACAGAUUUUUUUUUACACUUGUAUGUUUUUACCAUUUUGUCUGAAUGUCUAUGAAGAGGCCAGUCUCUUUGGUUCCGAUGUAUUUUAAUUCACCCGUUGGAUUGUGAUCUGAACACUAAAGGAGAUGUACAUGAAUGAGAAGGUAAAUGAUUGACAUGAAGGUUUGUUAUGCGAUUGUCUAGGAACAUUUUCGACCACAUAAUCUAGAUACAACAAUGGAUUCUCAACAGGAGACGGACUGGGGGUCUCAUACUGAAGGGAGACACUAAAAACAGGAAACACUGUCGUUCUUAUUACUUGUACAAAGUUUUGUGUGUGUGUGUGUGUGUGUGUGUGUGUGGGGACAUGUUUAACUAUACUUGUGGGGACUAGAAGUCCCCACACGAAUAGUAUAUAAACACCAUUUUGACCAACUGGUGACAUUUUGUUAGUCCCCACAAGAAAAAUUGAUAUUUCUAGGGAGUUUGGUUCAAAUUAGGGGUUAAAGGUUACUGUUACGGUUAAGUUUAGGGUUAGGGAAAAUACGAUUUUAAAUGGUAAUCAAUUGUGUGUCCCCACAAGGUUAGUUAAACAAGACUGAGUGAUGUAGGGCAUUUGUAAACAAAGUCUCCAGUCUGGUCUGGUCUGGUUUUACCCAUAUUGUAUUAUUGCUGUGAGUAUUUCUGUUCUUCAUGCAGAUUGAAUCUUCUAUUCAACAAUAAUAAUAAUAAAAAAGAUAUUCCUUUCUAUUUCAGUCUCUGCUCCUAUUCCUUGUACUCAGAAUGGACCGGGCAGCAUCAUUUGUACUCAGAGGGGACCGGGCAGAAUCCUAAAAACAGCUCUGAGAUCAACCUCUCUUGGAGCGAGCUACAGCAUGUUGCCAAGGACUCAAAGACAUGGGAGCACAUUGUGGUCAUGUCCCAUAGGGGAUGAAGAGGGUAGAGUAAGUAAGUAUUGGUUGUUUCAGUUCACACACAAAUUACCUCAUCAAUGACCCACAAUGAAAAGGAUGAGGCUGCUAAUACAUAUCAUGGUAGCAUCUCUAUGAAAUGUUUUCAUAAGUAACAUAGCCCGUUUCAUUUGAUCAACACAGAAGUAAUUCCCUUUAUGAAUAAUGUCCAGCCACAUUGUGGCCAGAUGGAGAAAAAAAUCAGAUAAAACAUCUUCCAAGUAAGAGACAUAGCAGACAAUCACUCUGGCCUUUUACCAUUUUCUCAGGCAGGCUCAUUGCCAAGGUAAGUUGACGCUUAAGCUUAAAUGAAUAAUCGGCAGAUGAAUGAGUUGCUUUGGGUUGAGAACAGGGACUUGUUCUUAACCCAGUGUCGUCUGCACAAAGUCAGGAAACGGAAAUCAGGAAACGUUUUGAGAUUGUAUAUAGUUGUGUAGGGUUUGAACAAGUGGCAGUGGAAACGGAGAGGGUUUGUGGACUAUCAUGCCCUCCCUGUCCCUGCAGAGCCAGGCAAACAAAUGGCAACAGCUGGCCAGGUUUAACCCGGGGGGAAAUCUGCUCGAGUUGAGCUCCACAUGAGGCAUAGCUGAGGGCAUACCGAGGUCACAUUCAAUCACCCAUUAUGUAUAAUUAUUCUCUCCAGAAAAACAUUGCAUUAACAAUGUAUAAAAUCACUGCCACAAAACACACGACAGCACCACAGCUGUUCUCUUGGAAUACUGGUACUGUGUUCAUGUUUUAACUUAUCAGAACAUACAGUAGAGCAAACCGCUUGAUGGGAAAUUGGCUAAUUUAUAGGUGAAGUUAGUCAUAAACGUUUUAGUAUUUUCUAGUGGAAGCAUGAUUUUGAUAAACAAUGUAAACCUACAUUUGUUGUCAUAGGUAGUGCUUGUGAAUGCUAUGCGGAGAGAACAUCAACAUAAAGAUGGAAUCCGCAGUACAGGGAAACAGAGCCACUGGCUGCCCCACUACGUUAUUGUUUUUGUAGCAGAGCUGAGGAGCGUCGCGCUGCUCGCCCAGCGAAACAAAAGAAGAAAUACAUGAUUGUGCUCUUCUGUUGCUCGUGCAAUGAUGUCUGUGGUGGAGAACUCUGUUUAUUGUUUGCAGUAACAUCUUAGUUGGUGUAAUAUUGCAAACUGACAUGUCUGUUUCACCAUUAAAGAUUCCAUCUUUAAGGGUUCCGUUGUUUUUUUCUUCAAUUUGACUGUUGAAACAUUACUUGAAUUUGUUUCCCACUUACCUCACAAUUUCAGUUCCAUUUUUACAGUUUUCGUUCAAAUGUGUGUGUCUCAAUUUCCCACUGUGUUUAAAAUGAACAUGUGUCCACAAACACAACUAGGUGCACUUGUUACUAUAUCUGACCUCAACCUGAGACAUCAUGAAUGAACUGAAUAACUAGUCUUUAUACUGA